AUUGAACGCUGGCGAAAUGCUUUACACAUGCAAGUCGAACGGUAGAGGGGGCAACCCCUCGAGAGUGGCGAACGGGUGAGUAAUAUAUCGGAACGUGCCCAGUCGUGGGGGAUAACGUAGCGAAAGUUACGCUAAUACCGCAUACGAUCUAAGGAUGAAAGCGGGGGAUCGCAAGACCUCGCGCGAUUGGAGCGGCCGAUGUCAGAUUAGGUAGUUGGUGGGGUAAAGGCUCACCAAGCCAACGAUCUGUAGCUGGUCUGAGAGGACGACCAGCCACACUGGAACUGAGACACGGUGCAGACUCCUACGGGAGGCAGCAGUGGGGAAUUUUGGACAAUGGACGCAAGUCUGAUCCAGCCAUUCCGCGUGCAGGAUGAAGGCCCUCGGGUUGUAAACUGCUUUUGUACGGAACGAAAAGGUCUCUCUUAAUACGGGGGACUCAUGACGGUACCGUAAGAAUAAGCACCGGCUAACUACGUGCCAGCAGCCGCGGUAA
rnacentral:rRNA from 1 species